GAUGAACGCUGGCGGCGUGCCUAAUACAUGCAAGUCGAGCGAACGGACGAGAAGCUUGCUUCUCUGAUGUUAGCGGCGGACGGGUGAGUAACACGUGGAUAACCUACCUAUAAGACUGGGAUAACUUCGGGAAACCGGAGCUAAUACCGGAUAAUAUUUUGAACCGCAUGGUUCAAAAGUGAAAGACGGUCUUGCUGUCACUUAUAGAUGGAUCCGCGCUGCAUUAGCUAGUUGGUAAGGUAACGGCUUACCAAGGCAACGAUGCAUAGCCGACCUGAGAGGGGGAUCGGCCACACUGGAACUGAGACCCGGUCAAGACUCCUACGGGAGGCAGCAGUAGGGAACUUUCCGCAAUGGGGGAAAGCCUGACGGAGCAACGCCGCGGGAGGGAUGAAGGUCUUCGGAUCGUAAAACUCUGUUAUUAGGGAAGAACAUAUGUGUAAGUAACUGUGCACAUCUUGACGGUACCUAAUCAGAAAGCCACGGCUAACUACGUG
rnacentral:rRNA from 1 species